CUCAUCGAGUGAACUGACCAUAAUGUUUGCUGCCCGUGUACUUCAUCUCAUGGCUGCCCUUGCUGUGUUAGCCGCACUUGCUGCUGCUUCGCCUACUGAAGAUCAUCAAUGGCCUCCAGAAGGCUGGUGGAAACAUUAAGAUGAAGAGAUGGAAAAGCCACCAAAGGAGCGUAUAAUGCCUGCAAGCAAUGCUUAUCUGAUUUAAAUAAAAUGAUCAUGCAAGUCUA